GAUGAACGCUGGCGGCGUGCCUAAUACAUGCAAGUCGAGCGAACAGACGAGAGUUCUUGCACUCUCUGACGUUAGCGGCGGACGGGUGAGUAACACGUGGGUAACCUACCUAUAAGACUGGGAUAACUUCGGGAAACCGGAGCUAAUACCGGAUAAUAUUUAGCUUCGCAUGAAGCAAUAGUGAAAGACGGUUCUGCUGUCACUUAUAGAUGGACCCGCGGUGUAUUAGCUAGUUGGUGAGGUAACGGCUCACCAAGGCAACGAUACAUAGCCGACCUGAGAGGGUGAUCGGCCACACUGGGACUGAGACACGGCCCAGACUCCUACGGGAGGCAGCAGUAGGGAAUCUGCCGCAAUGGACGAAAGUCUGACGGAGCAAUGCCGCGUGAGUGAAGAAGGUUUUAGGAUCGUAAAACUCUGUUGUAAGGGAAGAACAAGUACGUUAGUAACUGAACGUACCUUGACGGUACCUUAACAGAAAGCCACGGCUAACUACGUG
rnacentral:rRNA from 1 species